AGUUUUACAAUUUUGCUUAAGGCGUCGAGAAAUAUGCUAAAGGUUUUUAUCAAAAUGUACAAAGCUUCUGACUUUUUACAAUGUGUGUGUGUGUGUACAUACAAUA